UUGCUUGGCGGCCAUAGCGCUUUGGACCCACCUUUUCCCAUCCCGAACAGAGAAGUGAAACGAAGCAGCGCCGAUGAUAGUGUGUUUCCACAUGUGAAAGUAGGUCACCGCCAGGCUU
rnacentral:rRNA from 2 species